AGAAUGAUGACUCAUACAGUUGUUGCAGCAAUUAAGAGAUUAAGAGGGAUGUUUCAUUGUUAUAAUGGAAAGGGGAUAGAGAAUUAAAGAGCUCUGCUUACUGUCAUGAUGGAUUAUAUGCACGCAGCAGAAGAGGAAAGAAGUACCGCUGACAGGAAGACCUAGGGUCUUUUUUAGCCAGAGGUCUCUAUAGACAUGCCAUCAAUAGUAAUGGCAACCGCAGUGUAUCAUCGUGACGAUGUGCUUAAUCAGGGCUCAGGUGUUGAGGAUGUAGACUUGGGAGAGCCCCUUGUUGGUGUGCUUAAGGCAUCCUGGUUUCAGUCAGGUCAGGUCCCCUCACCUAAUACUGGCCUGAGGCCCAAGACCAAGAUACAAGGACUGAGGCUGUCUGAAGAACCAUGCAUGAUCAUUUAUGCUGAAAAGAAAAGAAAUUAGAAGCUUUUGUUGCACAGAAUGGUGGAUAAAGAUUGCGAAUUUGCACAGCUAUAAAGCUUACUAAUUAAAGACUACAAACACAAAGAGAGCAAGCCUUGUGAUGACUGCACAAUAACGAGGAUUCAGAUACAACGUGGUCGCCACCUGACGCCCACCUCCACAAAAAGCCAUUCUCAAAAGGAGAGAGACAUUCAUAUCCAGAAGAGGGAGUCGGCUGUAGGGUAGAGAUGUUCGUCUGAAGAUUUCAAAGCCCACUGCUGAUUUAAGGUCAUUCACAUUCAGCCAUGAAGCUGCUCUGAAGACACAGGAACUGCAUAGCUCCCUACUGGGAAUGUCAAGGGCUGUGAAAGGUCUAAGGUUUUAUCCUACUUGCAACCAACAAGCUAUGCAGCCACAGUUUUAUGGAUGCUGUCAAAAGACAUGACACUCCUGGCAUGCAGUUUAGGCUGCUAACAACAGCAUGAGGGCAACCUGCUGUGGUGACCUAAGCUAUGACACCCCACCCCAAGUCCGGGAUGCAGCUAACUGAGCAAACUGCAUGAACUGGGAGGCGGCCGACCAUUGUUCACGCCUCUCCUUCGCGUAUGUGUUUUCUACUGUUCUUGCACUGUAAAGGCAGAGGUUGCAUCGGGCCCUUAUGCAAAGCCCCAAAUAAUUACUGGCUGACUCUUCUCAGGGAACAUUUGCUAACCCUGUCACAAGCCAUAAGGUUCCACCACAGAUUGCCCUGUGGCUCUCUCGUUACGUUUCUGUGUGGACGUUUCCACAUGGUCUGAGGCAUUCAUCCAAGAAGAGCAGGAUGUAUUAGUGACUGCACAGAUUCUGCCUUGGCCCACAAAGAGGACAUCCAGGGCAGUCCUGGUCAUCUGUAAUAACAUUGCCCAGUGAGUUGAGGCUGACCUGAGUACUGACUUGGGUUGAGUUGGUGUCACUGAUCACUUCAGCCAAAGAUGGGACAUUUCUUAGCACCUGUUCUGAUUGGCUGACUUCUAUGGUCAGGAUAACGGCUCUCAGGAUGCGUAUAACUGCCAAGUCUCUCCGGGAAGCUUCCCUGGGUUACCAAGGAAUCCUCAUGUCUGAGAGAGCUCCACCAUCAUCCAAGGGCCACACGGAGUUUCUUGCAAUGCUUCAAGGUCUCCUGUAAUAACUCCUAUGAUAGAAGUCACUGUGUUUUGGGGAGGUAGACUGCAGCAUGCAGUUUUGACAGCAUGACCAAGGUCAUUGUUCAGGUCUGAUUAUUCAAAUUCAAAAAACUGCAACCUCAGGCAUAAAAGAUUAAGGAUGGAGCCCAAGUCUCUGGGUCCCCAAGGGGGACUGAAGCACAUACUCACCCAUCUGAAUAUGCUGGAGAACAGGAAGGAGAGACUCAAGCUUGUCUGGGUCUGUUGGAUACAGACUCUCCCAUCUCCACCCCAUCAGGUCCUAUGGAGGCCCAAGUUCAGCUGAUGAAGUUAAGGGAGUGCUCAGUGCAGAAGGGUGGGAGGGCACUUGGGGCAUUUUGGGGUCCUGUUUUUGUUGCUUCUGCAUCUGAUACAGCAGGAAUUGAAGUAUUGCACACUUGUCCUUCCCAUUUCCAAGUGCUGCCUUCCCAUCAGUAAGAGCCACAGUUAGAGAGGGACCAACAGGAGGAUAACUCCCACAUGCUUAGCAUUCCAAUAAUGGAACACUAGGCAUAAAUUGAUAAGAUGCUUUCAAUGCAAUCAGUACUCUGCCAGGAUUCACUAAGUAGAGAAUGACUAAAUAUUUACCCAUCUCCUAACAAAAAUGCACAACUGAGGACAGAUGUUUUGCACUUUUAUGUGUCUACGGACUGUGUAAGAGGAUUUGGCUGGGUCAUCAUCUUCUUCUUCUUCUUAGACUGGUUGAUGGUGACCGUUCAUUGAUCCAAUAUGGUAAAGUCAUGUCCUGGUCUGUGUUCUUCGGGGUCCACAACCCUCUUUAACAGCCUGUUGUAAGGUUCUCGACCACGUCACUGUCUAGCUAAACCAUUCUGCAUUUCAGUAGGUAAACCAGCAGGAGGGCUUAAAAACCACAUUGCCCUGUCCACAUCCCUAUUUCUGAUUCUUUUCUGGCCUGCGAUCCUACAUCUCUAUCCUCACUUUAAACUGUUUUCCUCUUUUCUUCUCCUUUUUCCUGACCUCCUUUAUGUUUUUCAUUUCUCCUCCAUCUGAAUAUACCAAACCAUCCUUUUGCUUCCUCUUUUCUCUUCAUUAAUUAUUCUAGGGGCUAUUUUUUUUAUUAGGAAGAUGUAUUAUUUUAACAUGCUUUAUAAAGUUAGUGGCAUUAAGGAAUUAAUGUCCUUGGAAACUCAUACAUGUUCAGCUUCUAGAAACCCCUGAUUCCAAGGAGCAAAAACAUGCCAUCUCUGACAGUGUCCACAAGAACAAUACCAGAUCAGACGAUAAAGCCAACACACAGCAUAGCCAAUGGCCACACAUCCAGAAAACACUCUCAACAAAUUUAACCCUUCAGUAUUCACUGUAGCCAAUAUAUAUUCAAUAUAUAUAGCUGACUUUGUUUUUAUAUUUGAUGAAGUCCUGCUAUUUGAAAUAAAAUAAUCAAACCAACAACAACAACAACAAAAACCCCAUACAUGGUGAUAGCAUAUGUGAGGCAGUAGCAAUUUCUCCAUCUUUUCUGUCCUGUCUUUCCUGUUCUUCGUUCCCAUGCUAAGAAGGGAUGGAUAUAUCUCGGAGAUUACACAGGUUCUAGUCAAAGACUUCAUUGUGAACGUUUGUUUCACAUUUUCCCUGGAUAAGGACUAAUUAAAAGUUUGGAAAAGUAUACCUUUUUUUUUUUUUUUUUUUGCAAACUUACCCAUAUUAUGUGCUUUUUCUUGAUACAGCUGCUAAUCUUUGCUGUAUAUGUAGUGUUAGGAAGUCUACUUUAAUACACACACACACGUUUAAUGAGGUAAAAUAUGCAUAACAUAAUUACCAUUUUAACAAUUUUUAAGUGUAGAGUUCAGGGGCAAGUACGUUCAUGUUCUUGUGCAACUAUCACCACCAUUUUUUCUCCAGAACCCUUUUUAUCAUCUCAAACUGAAACUCUGCACCCACUGAACAAUAACUCCCCGUUCUCUCCUCCUCCUAGACCCUGGUAACCCCUCAUCUAUUUUCUGUCUCUGUGUAUUUGACUAUUCUAGGUACCACAUUAACGUGGACUUACACAGUAUUCGUCCUUUUGUGACUGGCUUAGUUUAUUUAGCAUAAGAUCCCCAAGGUUCAGCCGGGUGCCGUGGCUCAUGCCUGAAAUCCAAGCACUUUGGGAGGCCAAGGUGGGUGGAUCACCUGAGGUCAGGAGAUUGAGACCAGCCUGGCCAACACGGUGAAACCUCAUCUCUACUAAAAUACAAAAAUUAGCUGGGCCUGGUGGCGGGCGCCUGUAAUCCUAGCUACUAGGUAGGCUGAGGCAGGAGAUUAGCUUGAACCUGGGAGGCGGAGGUUGCAGUGAGCAGAGAUGGGACCACUCCACUCCAGCUUGGGCAACAGAGCAAGACCCUGUCUCAAAAAAAAAAAAUUCAAGGUUCAUCCAUGCUGUGGCAUGUGUCAUAAUUUCAUUUCUUCAUAUUCCUGAAAUACAUUUCUAAAUAUAAAUUUUUCAUUACUGUUUUCAUUUCAAGUUAAGUUUAUCAGAUCCUGUAGUCCAGGGACUUCAGUCUCUUUGAAUUAUGUCUUUCUUGGACAAUUUGGGAGCUCUUUUGAGAAACUGAAUACAAUUUGAAUACACUAAAAUCUGAAUCACACCAUAGAUAACGACAUAGUGUCUUAGUGAGAAGAAAUUUGAUUCUGCUGACUAGGAUACUAAAGUUUGACCUUUAUGGUCAUCUCUUAAUAAAAUAAAAGGAGAGCACUGGGCUAUUAAAUAGUUUAUUCAUGGAUCAUAGGGUGAAUAAGACCUAGAUCCUAGAGGAAAUCCUCCCCACAAAGACACUCAGACUUUUAUUCCUGUCAAUGUUCUUGUGGAUUUCAGGGAGCAAUGAUGGCUAUAAAUCUGCAACUCAUAGCAUUUCAGGCUAAACACAUUCAGCCUUUAUUACCAUUGUUCAUUUGACCUCUUUAUCCAAUUUUUUUCCCACCCACUUGCCAAUAUCACCUUGUUCUUAUGUAGGCUGUGUUUCAGCCAGCUUAAGCCUUACUAACAAAUGAGGUGAAAUCCAUCUGAGGAGGAAGCCGGGGCAUGGUGGAUUGAAAUAGCUUGCCUCAGGAGCAGAAAAUUUGGUGUGGAUCAAGAAAUAGAACUCCAAAGUAUACCUUUCCAGUCAUUGGCUUUAGCUGGAGCCAGCAUCCUUCAAUGAAUCAGUCAACAUUUACCUAUCUGUUCCCCACAGCAGUUUUGCAAAUCGCUUUCAGAAAUCAUUGAACCACUAACAGUUUAUCCACUCUGCAAAAUAUACACAGCUCUUCCCAUAUCCAGGAGGGUUAUCCCUUCUCAGCUGCGUUCAACACUUUUUACAACCCCUGAUUUCAAUAAGCAGAAUACAUCCACCUGCUUAGGGAAAUUACUCUUACCAUAUAAUUGCCUCUUAUGUUGAAAUGUCCAUGAGACCCUCUCAUGAAAUAGGGGACAAGAUAAAGCACAGAUUUUCCCCCAACUCAAACAUGCCUGUCUCAUACAUGUCAUGCCCUUGGAAAUGGCCAACACUGCUCUCUGCCUCCUGUUUAGGGUUAAGGCUUUCACUAUCUCUUGCCACCUCUGAUGAAAUUACUAACAAAUAUAUUAUCCUUACCCUUUGUCUUCUAUUCCAGCACUUCAAAUGCAUCAAAGGUCCAGAGAGAAGCUUCUUCUGGUCACCUUGAUCUUGUGAUGCAAGGCAGGUGGGAGCAAGGGCUCCACCUCUGCAGACACAGAGAUGACGGGGUCGCCAUGCCGGCGUUUUAGUCCCGGUUUCCUCUGCUCGAGUAGUUGGUGGCCUCCUGCCUGUUCCCUAACAUAACUUCACUUUCCUUACCUGCAAAACGAAAUUAGUAUUUCCUCCCUCACAAGGUUAUUUGCAACUUACCUGGCUAAGCUGAACUCCAGAAUUUGGACUAGAGGCUUCAGGAUGCUGGUGCAGUUCAAGUCUGGUCCACAUGUCUCCUCCUCCUUCGAGGGUCAUUGACUACUUUGUGUAUCUUCUUUUCAUGACAGUUCAUAUGAGUGCAAGAUGGCUCGAUAGACUUGCACACAAGUUUAAAGAUUUUUGUAUACACCUCAUUCCAUUGUUAAAGCAAGUUGCAUGGUCAAAUCUAACAUCUCUGGACAAGGACAUGCAUUCAUACCACUCUACUGCACUGCAAGCUCACGCAGAGGAGCAGAUCAUAAAACGUGAUUGAUGCAUGAUGAUGAUAAUGACCAACCUACCAUCAUGGACAUGACCAAAUAUCAGAGAUGCUUACGUAGAAUUUGGAAAACUUUAAUUUUCACCAAAUACUCAUGUGCUUUGGGCUUACAGCAUAUGAAUUUUGGCAGAAGAGAAGUGAACCAGAAUAGAAGGAGGAGGGGAUAUUUAAUAAGAGAUUACAAAAAUGCUUUCUCUGGGUAAGAGAUGUGGUCUUCAUUUAAUGUUCAACUUAAAAAAAUAAAAAUUAUACCAUGGAAAAUGUGUGAUUUACAAGAUAUGUUAACAAGUAAUAAAACCUAAUAAGUGGAUUUGUAUUUUUUUAAGAGCAUAAAAAUAUCAGUUUGGCUAUUCAAAUGCAUUAGGCUGUUAUUUAGGUCCUCUUUUUCUUUAUGUGCCCAGUACUUUCAUCUUUAGACCUUACUAAUGCUAGAUGUCUUCUUGUCUUACUUGAUAGUUUUAUAUUAUAUUUUAUUCAGCCUAGUGAUGGGAAGAAUACGUUUACAAUAUGUUUACAUUGCACAUUAGUUUCUUGUCAUAUUUCCAGAGAUUGGAUAAUAACUGAUAACAAGAGACAGGGAGGUUUUCAGGAUUUUAAGUCCUUUUUUCUAGGACUUGCUUCUUUUUGAUAAAGCAGUCUCUACACUGGGUCUUUAUAUAGAGUACUUUUCUCUCUGUCCAUAAAUAGACUUGGUUAUAGGAGAAAUGGCGGAACAGUUUGAGAGUAUGGAGUUUCAAAGCAGAGCUCAUUAUUGAUGUUAAUAAUUUAUUAAUUUAUUAAACGUGGCAUGUGGAGUGCUGUUCUAAAUGCUUUCAUGCAUCGAUGCAUGAGGGUGCUGUGUGCAGUGAUGCCGGGUCACAUUGCCAGGAUCAUCCUCAAGGACUGAAUGACCCAUUUGCAGGAGUGUCAGGACAGUGGAUGCUGACUGAUCACAGCAAAGUCUGUCUCCAGGAAUAACCCCUGGCCGAGCAAGCAGCCUCACUCCCACUGGAGGCAUCCUUGAAGGGUCACGGGCCAGCACAGUUCCAGAAGUCCCCCUACAUUAGUAUUUAUAUUGUGUGAUUAAUUCAGCUACUUAUGUUGCAUUUAUAUUUAUGUUUUUUGAUUAUUGCUGUGUCUAUGUGUUUAUGUUUUUUGACUAUAAUAUUUAUGCUGUUUGUUUAAUUCUGUAUCAAUUAAAAAAAGGAAUGAAUUAAUGGCAUUCGCAGCAACCUGGAUGAGAUUGGAGGCUAUUAUAAAUGAAGUAACUCAUGAAAAGAAAACCAAACAUCAUAUAUUCUCACUCAUAAGUGGGAGCUAAGCUAUGAGAUGCAAAGGCAUAUGACUGACACAAUGGGCUUUGAGGACUCAAGGGAAAAGAGUAGGAAGGGAGUGAGGGAUAAAAUACUACAAAUUGUGUGCAGUGUAUACUGCUCAGGUGAUGGGUGCACCAAAAUCUCACAAACCACCACUAAAGAACUUGCUCAUGUAACCAAACACCAGCUGUUUCCCAAUAACCUAUGGAAAUAAAAAAAUUAAAAGAUUUAAUGAAAAAUAAGUCUAGAAGAAGUUCUUAACCCUUAGAGUCUUGUGGUCACAGACAUUUAGAUCCAUAUUUUUAUAUCAGCAAAAUAAUAUGGUGAUGAGCAAAGCACUUUGAAGCAUAGAAACAUUUACAUUAACAUAAAAUUAUAUGGAAGAAAUGGAAUAAUGUUUAUAUUCAAGGAGAAGAAAAUGAUGUAGAAAUGCCAACU
rnacentral:lncRNA from 1 species